rfam:Gossypium raimondii Chr01_contig_847, whole genome shotgun sequence.
AAACCAUGCAUCAGACAUUUCCUAAGUGAUUCCUUGAAUCGCUCCCAAGCUUCAUACAAUGUCUCAUCCUCUAAUUGUCGAAAAGAUGUGAUAUCAUUCCUUAACUU